AGUAUUGCUGCUGAAAAUGGAAAUUCUGUAUAUAAGUGUAGUUGGCAACCACUUGUGAGGUGUGGAUAGCUCUGGGGGCAAAACGUCAAAUUUGUUCCAUGGCUUACACUUUUGCCCAUUAAUAGUUGCUUCAAUGACUAGAUCUGAGUCAAGCCUUUAAGGCAAUAAGAUCAGUGUUCCACCUAGGAGUUUGACCCUUAACACAUUUUGAGUCAAGAUUUUUGACCACUUCUAAAGACUGUUGUGUAGUAUCACAUUUGAAUGAAUGGGGAAGUGUUGACCUUUGUUUAGGUUUUGGAAUCUUCACUUUCUUGUUGGUUUGACCUGUUGUGAUGUUUGUCAUACCAGCACAGCAGAUGUAGAAAAUAUCAAAUCAGACAGCGAUAUUAAAGAGUAUUGGUGAUUGUGUACUGAUCAAAAUGUGCAUCAUGAUGCCACUUUGAACCUUGUUGCUUUCCUUGCUCAGCUUGGUUUUUAGUUGGCCCUUAAUUUGCAUUUCCUGAUUCAUUGAACAUAAAGAGGAACCAUUAUCUUAAUUACCAUCUCCUCUAAUUAAGAAAUACUGUUUUAGUGACAUUGAUCACUGAAGUCCCUGGUUGUAUUGGCAUAGGUAGUGGCUGUAGUUGGACAUAAGAAACUGUUGGUAACCCCACAUUACCAGCAGUUUUGUUAUAUGCACUGAACCCCAUUUUAUAAUUGCAUGUUCCUACAAAUAAAAACGUGGAUCUGAAUUUGAGUGUCCUUUUUCCUUGUCCCAUUUAAUGUUAGACUAUCAGGAUGUUUUCUCCUUGGUCUGCAGAUGGUUUAUAAUGAAAUCUGACCACCGUGAAAUGAUGCAUUUCUUUUUGUAGCUCACCUUUUUGUGUGUGUGAAAAGGUUGACAUGCCAACAGGAUCUGUUAAUUUCCAAUUUAAUGUGGCAUCAUGUGGCUACUUUAAAGUUUUGAGUUUUAAAUGGACCCAGUUUUGUACCCAACAUGGUAACAUUGGUGGUGAUUCUUAUUCAGUAAUGGUGCUUGGUGUUUGUCAUUUGUACUGUCAGUAGAAAUGCAAAUCUGUUCAGUUGGCUAUAUACAACUGCUUGUUUUGAGCUCCUGAAUUCAAGUGCAAGCAAGGGUAACAUCUUGACUUUCUUUCCUACAGCAGGAAAUGCUUAUUCUUCUGGUAGACAGAGCGGUUAUUCAGUGCUGUCAGUAAGGAGCUUUUCUUCUAAACAGUACCAUCAAACCUGGCAUCCAGAAUGCAAGCACAAAUCUAAACAUACAAGGGGAUGGAAUGACUAUAGGACUGGUUUCCCGAGAUAUCCUUCCCAGGACCAUUCCUUUUUUCAAACCUUCAAUGGUGGCUGGCCAGUCAGAAGUGCCUCUCCUGCCCUAACUGAUAGCAGUAUGACCACCGAUGGGAAUGAUGAUGACACAGCCAGUGUCCUCAGCUGGGCUGAUCGCUGUGGUAAAUGUUACAGUUAAGGAGUGGCAUGACUCCCUGCCCCCAUCACUUGGUUCCAACUGAAUCCCUUUUAAAUGAAGGAGUUGUUGAUUUUUUUUUUUCAUUGCAGUAGGGAAUGUAAGAAUACUUUUUUGUAAAUAGUCCCUGAGCAUUUCUUGUUCCUACUGGGGGAUAUUUUCCCUUGGCUGGCUCACUUUAGCUGCGUGUGCAGCUAUUUGCGCUCCAUGAACUUGCUUAGCCAGCAAUCUGUCUGUGAGUUCUUUCCAAGCAUGGCUGAAACCAAUGUCCUCAUGUUGUAGAAAUGAGAUAUAGUACUUUUUUUUUACAGGAACAUAGAGUAAAUGCUUAACUAGAGUAAGCACUUAACAGAAGAUGCAGAAUCUGGAUGCAAGACAUUUUAAGAUGGUAGAAAUAUCACCUUGUCUGGUGCCAUAAACAAGGCUGGGUCUCUUGAACCUGAGAUGACUUGUAAAUGGUGAAACUCCCUUCUGACCUGGCAUGGCCCCAGUUGUUGGGCUGGUACUGGAAAGAAAAUACAAGUUAAAGAAGAAGAUGUGCGAUACCCUUCCUUAGUGUAGUGACUGGGAACACUGAUGUUGGAAUGCUAUCCUUGGGAUGAGACCUUAAACAAGUCUUGCCUAAUGGGCUGAUAAAGAUCUAUGACACUGUCUGUGGAGGGGAACUUUUGUCUGUGGCAGUUAAAUUUAUGACUGGAAUGCAUUAGACUUAAAAUUCAGGUUCUUGAAUCAGUGGGGUGUAGUAGCUUCAUUACUGUGCAGCAAAACCUGCUGAAAGUGAUCACAUAUUGGCCAUUGAAUAGGUAGUCAGUCCUACAGAUGUGAUAUUGAAGUUGUGCACCAGAGAAAUGUCACUGGUACACUUGAGACUGUUUGGAUUUGAAUCGAAAUUGGUCAUCCAUCACUAUACGUACUGGCUGUUCUGUUUGCUUUUAAUUCAUGGCUUCCUUAAUUUGAACAUCUUGCAACAUGUGAAAUGAUAUCAUGAUCUAAAUAAGGGGUUGGUAAAACUUCAGCCUUUUGGGCAAAUCAAAUGCCCUGCCUGCACAUUAAUUAUUCAGGAUAAUUUUCCAGCAAAGUGUGCUGACCCCUGCAAACACAACAAUACAAUUAAAAAAUGGGAAUCUGGACUUUUUAGAUUGAUAGGAUCAUAAGCGUCUUAGCUUCUUGAACGGAGAAGCUUAGUGACUCAAUGUGGAACCCACCCAUAUUUUUCUUUUGUAGUCUUGAUGUACUUUUUGUAAUGCUUUGCUAUGCGCUGGAAUCCCAUGUUGGCUUGUUUUUGCAUUUAUUUUUAUGGUCACCAAAAUCUUAGUAGGCUUAGUAGAUCUGCUGGGUUGAAAAUGAUAUCCCCCUGUAGUCUCGGGUUUUCUAGAGUUUCCUGCGAGGUAGUUUUUGAGAUUUGAUCUACUGAGAUUUUUAAAAUGGCCUUUUGAUUUACGUUACAGAAAACUUUGGGUUUACUGUUCAUUCUGCAAAAUGAUUAACUUAAACCUUUCUUGUAGUAAUGAGACUAAUGCUGUGGUUAUGGUUGUAAUGUGGAGUCCUGUAUGUCUAAAUUGGACUUUAUCACGUGUGGAAAGUUUUCUUGCAGCUGCACGGAUUUCUUGGUCUAAGCAAAGUAUGUACUAAUCUUUAUUUU